GACGAACGCUGGCGGCGUGCUUAACACAUGCAAGUCGAACGGAAAGGCCCCUUUGGGGGUACUCGAGUGGCGCACGGGUGAGUAACACGUGAGUAACCUGCCCUUGACUUCGGGAUAACUUCAUGAAACUGGGGCUAAUACCGGAUAGGAAUCCUUGCUGCAUGGUGGGGGUUGGAAAGCUUCGGCGGUUUUGGAUGGACUCGCGGCUUAUCGGCUUGUUGGUGGGGUAGUGGCUUACCAAGGCUUUGACGGGUAGCCGGCCUGAGAGGGCGACCGGCCACAUUGGGACUGAGAUACGGCCCAGACUCCUACGGGAGGCAGCAGUGGGGAAUAUUGCACAAUGGGCGGAAGCCUGAUGCAGCAACGCCGCGUGCGGGAUGACGGCCUUCGGGUUGUAAACCGCUUUCAGCAGGGGCGAAGCUUGUGGUGACGGUACCUGCAGAAGAAGCACCGGCUAACUACGUG
rnacentral:rRNA from 1 species